GAUUCCGUAAGUCAGCUGUCAGAGCAUCCCGAUUUUGAUCGGGAGGGUCCUGGGUUCGAAUCCCAGCGGGAUCA
rnacentral:tRNA from 1 species